UUUAUUAAGGAAUAAGAAAGUUGGGAAAAUUUCAAAAUAACCCAGAAGAUUUUAAAUUUACCCUUUGAUCCAAGUGUUUACCUAAUAUAAUGAAAAAUUAAGGGGGAAUGUCGUAUUUCUAUCUCUUCUCAUUCGUUGUUGUUUUCUCUCUCUUAGCUAUUUUUCUUAUUCAUUGUUACUACUGCUUUAUUCAUCAUCUUCUACUUCAUUAUCAUCAUCUUCUACUUUAUUAUCAU
rnacentral:lncRNA from 1 species